AUGUAGCACUUCCUGUACGUGGAGGGCAGCCUGCCCAUGGCGAAGUUCGACUGCGGGGACAACCGCCGUGAGCCCUUGCCAGGUUCAAGGACUGCCCAGGAAGCCCACCGAGUGGAUGGCCUCGAUGGACUCCAGGAUCUGCUUGCCCAGCCGCAAGCCCUACCCCGAGCCUGAAGCCCAGCCCAGCUGGAAGGGACGCACCUGCAGCUGCAUCACCACAUAGUUGAACUUCUCGUUCC